rnacentral:rRNA from 1 species
UACAGAGGGUGCAAGCGUUGUUCGGAAUUACUGGGCGUAAAGCGCACGUAGGUGGCGACGUAAGUCGGGUGUGAAAGCCCCGGGCUCAACCUGGGAAUUGCAUUCGAGACUGCAUUGCUGGAAUACGGAAGAGGAAGGCGGAAUUCCCGGUGUAGCGGUGAAAUGCGUAGAUAUCGGGAGGAACAUCAGUGGCGAAGGCGGCCUUCUGGUCCAGUACUGACACUCAAGUGCGAAAGCGUGGGGAGCAAACAGG